rnacentral:rRNA from 1 species
AGAGUUUGAUCAUGGCUCAGGAUAAACGCUGGCGGCGCACAUAAGACAUGCAAGUCGAACGAACUUAACUCAUUCUUUUAGUUUGAGAGCGGUUAGUGGCGGACUGGUGAGUAACACGUAAGCAACCUGCCUAUUAGAGGGGAAUAACAGUGAGAAAUCAUUGCUAAUACCGCAUAUGCUAACAGUAUCGCAUGAUACAGUUAGGAAAGGAGUAAUCCGCUAAUAGAUGGGCUUGCGCCUGAUUAGCUAGUUGGUGGGGCAAUGGCCUACCAAGGCGACGAUCAGUAGCCGGACUGAGAGGUUGAACGGCCACAUUGGGACUGAGAUACGGCCCAGACUCCUACGGGAGGCAGCAGUCGGGAAUAUUGCGCAAUGGAGGAAACUCUGACGCAGUGACGCCGCGUAUAGGAAGAAGGUUUUCGGAUUGUAAACUAUUGUCGUUAGGGAAGAUACAAGACAGUACCUAAGGAGGAAGCCCCGGCUAACUACGUGCCAGCAGCCGCGGUAAUACAUAGGGGGCAAGCGUUAUCCGGAAUUAUUGGGUGUAAAGGGUGCGUAGACGGAGGAGCAAGUUGGUUGUGAAAUCCCUCGGCUUAACUGAGGAACUGCAACCAAAACUACUUCCCUUGAGUGUCGGAGAGGAAAGUGGAAUUCCUAGUGUAGCGGUGAAAUGCGUAGAUAUUAGGAGGAACACCAGUGGCGAAGGCGACUUUCUGGACGAUAACUGACGUUGAGGCACGAAAGUGUGGGGAGCAAACAGGAUUAGAUACCCUGGUAGUCCACACCGUAAACGAUGGAUA